UGGGGUAUAGCCAAGCGGUAAGGCAACGGACUUUGACUCCGUCAUUCCCAGGUUCAAAUCCUGGUACCCCAG
rfam:Brevibacillus laterosporus LMG 15441, complete genome.